rnacentral:rRNA from 1 species
CUUUGGUGGCGACCGGCGCACGGGUGCGUGACGCGUAUGCAACCUACCUUUAACAGGGGCAUAAUACUGAGAAAUUGGUACUAAUUCCCCAUAACAUUCGAGAAGGCAUCUUCUUGGGUUAAAAACUCCGGUGGUUAAAGAUGGGCAUGCGUUGUAUUAGCUAGUUGGUGAGGUAACGGCUCACCAAGGCAACGAUACAUAGGGGGACUGAGAGGUUAACCCCCCACAUUGGUACUGAGACACGGACCAA